rnacentral:rRNA from 1 species
AUGGCUGGUCCGGCGAAGGCGUCGUGGAUGGUGGCCAUGAGCGUGGGGGCGGUGGAGGCGCUCAAGGACCAGGCCGGACUCUGCCGCUGGAACUACGCGCUCAAGUCCAUCCACCGAGCUGCCAAGGCCAAGGCCAACGUCCGCGCCGGCGGCUCGCAGAGCACGAAGCAGCUUCCGGCUUCCACGGCGGCCCUGGUGGAGAGGCGGCGAGCGGAGAAGGCGGAGGAGGCGCUGAGGACGGUCAUGUACCUCAGCUGCUGGGGACCCAAUUAG